AUUGCCCUUAGAGUUUGAUCCUGGCUCAGGACGAACGCUGGCGGCGCGCCUAACACAUGCAAGUCGAACGAGCGAGAGAGAGCUUGCUUUCUCAAGCGAGUGGCGAACGGGUGAGUAACGCGUGAGGAACCUGCCUCAAAGAGGGGGACAACAGUUGGAAACGACUGCUAAUACCGCAUAAGCCCACAGCUCGGCAUCGAGCAGAGGGAAAAGGAGCAAUCCGCUUUGAGAUGGCCUCGCGUCCGAUUAGCUAGUUGGUGAGGUAAUGGCCCACCAAGGCGACGAUCGGUAGCCGGACUGAGAGGUUGAACGGCCACAUUGGGACUGAGACACGGCCCAGACUCCUACGGGAGGCAGCAGUGGGGAAUAUUGCACAAUGGGGGAAACCCUGAUGCAGCGACGCCGCGUGGAGGAAGAAGGUCUUCGGAUUGUAAACUCCUGUUGUUGAGGAAGAUAAUGACGGUACUCAACAAGGAAGUGACGGCUAACUACGUGCCAGCAGCCGCGGUAAAACGUAGGUCACCAGCGUUGUCCGGAAUUACUGGGUGUAAAGGGAGCGCAGGCGGGAAGACAAGUUGGAAGUGAAAUCUAUGGGCUCACCCCAUAAACUGCUUUCAAAACUGUUCUUCUUGACUACUGCACAGGUACGCGGAAUUCCCGGUGUAGCGGUGGCAUGCUAGAAAUCGGGAGGAACACCAGUGGCGAAGGCGGCGUAUGGGCACCAACUGACGCUGAGGCUCGAAGUGUGGGUACCAGACAGGAUUAGAUACCCUGGUAGUCCACACCGUAAACGAUGAUACUAGGGUGUGGGAGGAUUGACCCCUUCAGUGCCGCAGUUAACACAAUAAGUAAUCCACCUGGGGAGUACGACCGCAAGGUUGAAACUCAAAGGAAUUGACGGGGGCCCGCACAAGCAGUGGAGUAUGUGGCUUAAUUCGACGCAACGCGAAGAACCUUACCAAGUCUUGACAUCCCUUGACGAACAUAGAAAUAUGUUUUCUCUUCGGAGCAAGGAGACAGGUGGUGCAUGGUUGUCGUCAGCUCGUGUCGUGAGAUGUUGGGUUAAGUCCCGCAACGAGCGCAACCCUUACUGUCAGUUACUACGCAAGAGGACUCUGGCAGGACCGCCGUUGACAAAACGGAGGAAGGUGGGGAUGACGUCGAAUCAUCAUGCCCUUUAUGACUUGGGCUACACACGUACUACAAUGGCGUUAAACAAAGAGAAGCAAGACCGCGAGGUGGAGCAAAACUCAGAAACAACGUCCCAGUUCGGACUGCAGGCUGCAACUCGCCUGCACGAAGUCGGAAUUGCUAGUAAUCGUGGAUCAGCAUGCCACGGUGAAUACGUUCNCCGGGCCUUGUACACACCGCCCGUC
rnacentral:rRNA from 1 species